AGUUUAACUCUUGCAGAGAACUGUCUCAGUUGAACAACAAUCGUAAAAAGUUAUCAAAAAUGAAAUUUCUCUACGCAGCUGCUGUCGCCAUGUUUGUUCUGGUUGCCGUCACUGAAAAGUUCAAGUGGUUCAGAACAUACAGAUAUUAGUAAAAUGUAUAACAGCUUUGCGGUCGUCCCGGGAUCGAAACAGUUUUUCAGGACCUAAGGAAAAACUUCCAACGGAUGUUGCCUCGUGAAGAGUUGUGUAACGUGAAGAACAAUUUUUCACCGAAUUAAAUUAAUUAUGAAAAAUUAUUCGGAGUUGUUUCUGUUAAAUAAAAUCAUGGAUUGAUCGGAAAAAA